ACCUGUUCCCGUGGCCCGAGUGCGGCCCACGGGGCAACGGACACACAUUGUGCCUGGGAAGAUCUGGGCACUUCAGGGCGUU
rnacentral:sRNA from 22 species